GACGAACGCUGGCGGCGUGCUUAACACAUGCAAGUCGAGCGGAAAGGCCCUUUCGGGGGUACUCGAGCGGCGAACGGGUGAGUAACACGUGAGUAAUCUGCCCCUGGCUUUGGGAUAGCCACCGGAAACGGUGAUUAAUACCGGAUACGACCACUUCUCGCAUGGGAUGGUGGUGGAAAGUUUUUCGGCCAGGGAUGUGCUCGCGGCCUAUCAGCUUGAUGGUGAGGUAAUGGCUCACCAUGGCUUCGACGGGUAGCCGGCCUGAGAGGGUGACCGGUUACGCUGGGACUGAGACACGGCCCAGACUGCGACGGGAGGCAGCAGUGGGGAAUACUGGACAAUGGGCGGAAGCCUGAUCCAGCAACGCCGCGUGAGGGAUGACGGCCUUCGGGUUGUAAACCUCUUUCAGCAGGGACGAAGCGCAAGUGACGGUACCUGCAGAAGAAGCACCGGCCAGCUACGUGCCAGCAGCCGCCGCCG
rnacentral:rRNA from 1 species